GACGUAGGGCGCGAGCGUUGUCCGGAAUUAUUGGGCGUAAAGAGCUCGUAGGCGGCUUGUCACGUCGAUUGUGAAAGCCCGAGGCUUAACCUCGGGUCUGCAGUCGAUACGGGCUAGCUAGAGUGUGGUAGGGGAGAUCGGAAUUCCUGGUGUAGCGGUGAAAUGCGCAGAUAUCAGGAGGAACACCGGUGGCGAAGGCGGUUCUCUGGGCAUGUCCUGACGCUGAGGAGCGAAAGUGUGGGGAGCGAACAGG
rnacentral:rRNA from 1 species